UCCAGACUCCUACGGGGGGCAGCAGUGAGGAAUAUUGGUCAAUGGGCGCGAGCCUGAACCAGCCAAGUCGCGUGAGGGAAGACGGUCCUAUGGAUUGUAAACCUCUUUUGUCGGGGAGCAAAAGACGCCACGCGUGGCGUUCCGAGAGUACCCGAAGAAAAAGCAUCGGCUAACUCCGUGCCAGCAGCCGCGGUAAUACGGAGGAUGCGAGCGUUAUCCGGAUUUAUUGGGUUUAAAGGGUGCGUAGGCGGGACCUUAAGUCAGCGGUAAAAUUGCGGUGCUCAACGCCGUAGAGCCGUUGAAACUGGGGCUCUUGAGGGAGCGAGAAGUAUGCGGAAUGCGUGGUGUGGCGGUGAAAUGCAUAGAUAUCACGCAGAACCCCGAUUGCGAAGGCAGCAUACCGGCGCUCAACUGACGCUGAGGCACGAAA
rnacentral:rRNA from 1 species